GACGAACGCUGGCGGCGUGCCUAAUACAUGCAAGUUGAGCGCUGAAGGUUGGUACUUGUACCAACUGGAUGAGCAGCGAACGGGUGAGUAACGCGUGGGGAAUCUGCCUUUGAGCGGGGGACAACAUUUGGAAACGAAUGCUAAUACCGCAUAAAAACUUUAAACACAAGUUUUAAGUUUGAAAGAUGCAAUUGCAUCACUCAAAGAUGAUCCCGCGUUGUAUUAGCUAGUUGGUGAGGUAAAGGCUCACCAAGGCGAUGAUACAUAGCCGACCUGAGAGGGUGAUCGGCCACAUUGGGACUGAGACACGGCCCAAACUGCUACGGGAGGCAGCAGUAGGGAAACGUCGGCAAUGGGCGAAAGUCUGAGCAAGCAACGCCGCGUGAGUGAAGAGGGUUGUCGGAUCGUAAAACUCUGUUGGUGGAGAGGAACGUUGGUGAGAGUGGAAAGCUCAUCAAGUGACGGUAACUACCCAGAAAGGGACGGCUAACUACGUG
rnacentral:rRNA from 1 species